rnacentral:rRNA from 1 species
UACGUAGGGGGCUAGCGUUGUCCGGAAUCAUUGGGCGUAAAGCGCGCGUAGGCGGCCCGGUAAGUCCGCUCUGAAAGUCCAGGGCUCAACCCUGGAAUGCGGGUGGAUACUGCCGGGCUAGAGGGUGGUAGAGGCGGAGUGGAAUUCCCGGUGUAGCGGUGAAAUGCGCAGAUAUCGGGAGGAACACCAGUAGCGAAGGCGGACUCGCUGGGCCACACCG